ACUGAGCCUCUCUUAAUCUUGGGUUUCUAAUUUGCUGUCUUGAGAGUAGAGUCCAACCAUGAAGAAAAAGGCAGAUUUGUGCUGUGUAAAGAGAGCCUGGUUGUGUCCCAUACGUUACCAGCUUUGUUCAGCAUUAAGGGGUAUUUGGCCACAAAGGGAGCUACAUUAUUCUGGAGCCACCUGUUAACUGGUUAAAUGCCCUGUCCGGUCAUUUUCAAAAUUAAAAACUCAUUUUUUUUCAUUUUUAAAGUAUGUUGGUACUGGGGAUUGAACUCAGGGGUGCUUAUCCACCGAGUUACAUCCAUCCCUAGCCCUUUUUAUUUUGAGACAGGGUCUUGCUAAAUUGCUUAGGGCCUCACUGCUCACCUUGAACUUGGUGAUCCUCCUUCCUCAGCCUCCUGAAUCACUGGGGUUACAGGCAUGCAGCACUGUAUCCAGCAAGGUUAAAAACUUUUAAAGCAAAGUCUACCUUGAUAUAAAACAAUAGUUAGAUAGAUGCUGUUACCUCCUUUAAUGUCCUUCUCUUCCUCGUAUGCACAAUGAUGACCAUGGUUUUGCUUGUAGUUAUUGUGAAAUCUUGCUUGUUUUGGCAUCUUCAUUUCAAAACAAAACAAGUAAUUCUACCCCAUCAGUAAAAUCUUUGGCUUUUAGUGCUGCCCACCCCCUAUUAAUAACUCCCCCAACCCAGACUUGGGCUGUAAUUUGAUGUUGUGCUUCCCCUUUUGAGAAUAUGUUCUCUCUAAACUUUUCUAAAAUGUCUGUCUUUAGUGCUUCCCCACAGUGUUUCAGUUUGGCCCAUGAUGGUGAAAUAUUUCAGGUUCCCCUAUUUCAUUUUUUCCCUUUUGUUUGUUGUAUGCCAUGGGCUUCUCUUUUAUGCCUUUCAUACCUGAUCUUGCCUUCUAGCAGUUUUUUUUUUCUCUUGGAUUUUUUAAAAAGAUCUCUCUAUCAUUAUGGUUUCUCUUCUACUAUCUGCUCACUCUCAGCUUAGCAGCUAUUUUCACCAUUUUAAAGUUAUUGCUCUCCCAUUAGUCCAUUCUCUUGUUGGUUCUCUGUUUCAUAGUGUAGCGAUUAUGUCUGGCUAUCUACUUUCUGCUGCCUGCUUGAUCAUUUCCUUAGAUCUCGGUCAGUCCUUUUGCUUCCAUAUGCAUGUGCCUCCCAAAUUGAAAGUUUUAUUGACAUUUUUUCAGUCAAGCUUAUUGCUAUUUUUUUUUUUUUUGGUACCAGAACUGAACUCAGGGGUACUUAACCACUGAGCCACAUCCCCAGCCCUUUUUAUAUUUUGUUUAGAGACAGGGUCUCACUAAAUUGCUUAGGGUCUUGCUAAAUUGCUGAGGCUGGCCUUGAACUUGCAAUCCUCCUGCCUCAGCCUCCGAAGAUGCUGGGAUUGCAGGCAUGUGCCACAGUGCCUGGCCAAGCUUAUUGCUUUGUGUUGGUGGAAUCAUGUGCUCUCCUUUGUCCUUUGGAUCUGACUUUUGAGUUACUCCCUGCAAAGUGGGGAUAGCUCAUGGCGGUCCAGGCAGUGACCAUCAUUUGAUUCUUGGGCGGUGCAGCUGUUCAUUUCUUCAUUUCUUAACAAUUACAUGGUGUGACAUCAGGUAAAAUCCUUUGAGAUAUUUCAUAUAUUUGUGCUUGUGCUUCCUGGGUCAUUUGGGAUUACCAAGUUUCUUCCAAGUUCCAUUUAGAAACUUUGUCUUUGAUGUGAUGAUUCCCAUCAAAUCAAGCAAGCAUAUGAGCUUGUGCACACAAACAUGCACACACAUGAGUGUGGGAGCUUCAAGUGAAAGCAAGCUGGCGUGAAAGUACACCAGCAGAACCUACCAAAUGUGGCAUGUAGUGUAUUUGUAAGGUUUUCCCAUUUCGUUCACCUCCCCUGAGUAGUAUAUGGUUAAGUGGUUAAUAACUUGAUAGGACAUGAUGCUGGAAAACAAAACCUUAUGUCUACUGAAUCAGAAUGUCUGGGGCCAAGACCUACAAAUUGGUAUUUGAAAUAAGCCCUUCAGUGAUUCUGGCUUGGGAAACAUUGGUUUACAUUGACCGUCAUGACUCCUCUCUUGCCAAUAGGAACAUGUUCCCUAGACAUUUACUUGGCUUUCUCUCUGGCUAGACCACAAGGAUCUUGCCUUCUUAUGUAGACCACUUAGCUCAGUGUUCUGUUGCCUGUCUUUCUACCCCUCCCCUCAUCCGCAAAAGCUACUGUAGUUUUUAGUUUUUGCAGUGCUGGGAAUGGAACCCAAGAUCUUGUACAUGCUAGGCAAGUGCUCUACCACUGAGCUACACGCCCAAACCAAAUCUACUGUUGAUUAGUAACAGUGAGCUUUAGAUGGGCAGGGAUGUUGCUCUGACAAAAUAAUGACAAAUUUGGGAGGCAAAGAUUUAAGAGGAUGCUCCAUCUUUAAGAUCUUGUGAAAAUGGA
rnacentral:lncRNA from 1 species